GUUCUAGUAGUUUAAAAAAAAUUUUGGUCUUGUAAACCAAAGAUAAAGUCCAUUUUUAGAACU
rnacentral:tRNA from 1 species